CGUUGAGAAAAUCUCUCAUGCCAUCCUGGUUAUACCACCGAUCUACUCCAGUUUCCUUACCACACAUAGCGGGGGAUUCUGUAACCUCAAUCUUUUAUUCCCUGCCUUACGACACUACAAAAAUAUGCCAGACAUAUUUGGUAAUAGCGAGUAUUAGCAUAAUCAACAUGCAAAUUCGGGCAAAAAUUGAUUUUCAGGAAGCCUCCUUACCAUUCGGGUGGCUCGUUGAAAUGCAGCCUACACCUGACGAGAACCAAACCCAUACGUGGUUGGAUUUUCAAAAUUUUAUAAGAAAAUAAAUAGGAAAUGGAAAAAAAAGACAAAUCCAACCUUUAGUUGAUAUUUAUACCGAAAUAUGGCGCUUUUCCAUAUAAAAUAAACUUAUUUAAGUGACUCAGCGCAUGCUUUUUCACUUAUUAAUCUCUAUCUAUAAUAGAAUUGAUGUUUUCAUCUCCAGAACACUUCUACUGGCAGAGAUCGCUAAGGCUCGAGAGGUCUGUUUACAAGAAAUCCUAUAGUUUUGAAAGAGUUACUCUGGAACCUGAGAGCACAAGGCUGGAGAAUGAAUCCAAACACAACCCACCGCUGACAAGCUGUUGCAAGAAUUUUACGUCAUCAAUUUCACCAAGGAUGGCUACGCCCCACUUUUGUAUCUUCUAUGAGUAACAUUAGUAAAGCGAAUUGUAAGAGAAGUGCUAUCUGUGCAUUUUACAAGUGUCUCUUUUAACUUGGAUAGUAUAUGUUCUGUUCUCAAAAUUCCCUUUAUAUCUUCUUUUUGUCCUCUCCUGAUAUCAGAAUCCCUCGUAAGCACACUCCCCAUACUUUCAUAUAACUGUCAUUAAAACAUAUCGAUUGAAUUUGCAGGAAAAUUUGAUUUUUCCAAGCGCUGCUAUAAACUUAGACCAUUGAGAUAUAACCUUAUUCCACACCUCUCAAAGUUGAAUAUUUUCUGUCGAUUUAUAAUUUGAUAGAAAUCAGUUUUUAGUUAGUGCCUGAUAUGUUUAGUUGCGCACACGUGUUUUUCAUUAAAACAUAUUUCCAUACCCUUCUGUGGUUGAAUAAAUUUUGUGCAUUAAAUCGAUUAAAAAAAAAACUUCAAUUCGGGUUACAGCCCCGAGAAACAUACUUCUUGGGUAACAUUGGCUUAGUAUCUCUUGACUUAAUCCUUUUACAGAAGGAUUGCGCGAAUCUCUAUAGUUUGUUGGAAACCUUGCUAACUCUUGAGUGUGAGUCACUGCUGCAGUUUUCUUGCUAGCUAGAACGAUUUGCCCAACCCUCGAGUUUCUAGCGCAGUUCACCGACAAUUCUAUGUGAGUGAAGUACUACGAAUAUAAGCAUAUUGGAAAAUAACAGAUAUGAGGAUCCUGAAGAUAGAAGUUGCCUGGCCGGCAUUCAUAUUUCACUUUGGCCAGUUAGAGUUUUUUAUUUUCACCUCGGGCCCAAAAUAGGUCUUGAUUAUCCUAAAGAUAGAGGUUGCCUGGCUUUAACGCUUUGCGAAAUGCUUUAUUUUUAUUUAUUUCUCCUGACGAAGACAAAAGAUUUUUGUCGAAACGUUGAGAAAAUAAAAACCUCUAACUGGUCGAAAUGUCUAUUUUUCAUAGAUAUAUGAGGAAUUCCAGUGUUAUUUUGAGGUCAGCUCUCGCAAAGGUAUUAGACACACACCCAUUCUAUUGGAAAAUAUUAACAGAAAUGAAUGUAUGUCGAUUUUAAAUGCUGUUCGAUAGUUGUAUUUGUUGGAAUAUUACACAGAGUAACAAUGGCUAUAGAUGAGUUCGUGUUUAAAAAGGAACUUGUAUAUAAUAAUUAUGUUUGGUUGUUUUCACGUAAAACAUAUACCAAGAUUUGUUUUUGUAUAAUUGCUAUUAAUAAUAAAUAAUAUGCAUAGUUAAAUUGGUUACGGAUUCAUCCUUCUUACUUACUUUAAUAACAUAGGAGUAUUGGUGUCUGUAUUUCCCAUCUUUGCAAUGUUAAGUAUUAUGAAGUAGGAAAGAGCCGAGUGAAGGAAGCUGUAUAAAUAUGAAGGGGAAGGGAAGGAGGUGUUCUCAUAGUGCUGGUAGUAACGUUGGGAAAGUAGAUCUCAGGCGUCCGUCUUGCUGAUGACUGCUGUAAAAUAAGACAAAUUGUGUGAAUGGUCAACUUGGAAAUAUAUCUAACGUUAUAUAUUUUACAUACAAGAACCCUUUUCAAUGUGUGAGGGGAUAUAACUUGGUAUGAUAGUCUUUUGUAAGAUUUUAUUCCUAGGAGAAUGGGAUUUUGUCCUAGAUGUGAACGUCUUUAUUCUUAAUAAUUCUUUUCUAUAAAUAUAUCUGACGUUAUGUAUUUUACAUACAAAAACUCUUUGCUAUGUGUGAGAGCAUAUUGCUUGGAGUGAUGGUUUUUAUAGGUGUUUUUUCUAGGAGAAAGGGGGUUUUGUUUUUAUUCUUGAUAAUAUUUUUUUAGGUAUUUGAAUCCUUUUUAUGAGUUUUAGAAAGGUCUUUUCUUAGGUUUGAAAGCCUCAUUUGUAGGUUUCACAGUUUUAUUUGGUUGCCCAUUUGUGGUUGUAGAAAGAAAACAAAUGGAUAUAGUUAGUUGACAUUUUGCAAAUUGUGAAACACAGUUAUGUUCUAGGAUGGGUGCUUGACACAUAAUUCAAAUUUUCAAGAGGGUUCAUGUAGAAAAAGCGCUAUGAAAUAUAUUCUUACUUGAGAAAUAAAUGUGUAUAGCUUGGGUUGGGAAAGUCACCAAUAAGGGAAAUUGCCAAAAAUGCGGAUUCAUUGUUCAGAUCAGAAUAAUCAGUUUCUAGGUAGAUUUGCAGAUUCUUUGUCAAAUUUGCCUUAAACAUAUGUUUGUAUUUAGUAUAAAUUCUAAAAUUAACAAUAUUUAUAAUAAGGCAACCGAAGAUAUUUGUAAAAACACUUUUUGGUUUUCAAACGCACUUGUCUCCAUUACAAUUCAAACAAAUUUUAAACUGGCAUCCAAACUUCAGUGAGAUCCAUUAGAUGCCUCCUGAAGUUCCACGGUCUACCACCCAUCACUAGAAUCUAUAGAAGAAUAUAAAGGAUUAUCCUACUCUUGUUGUAUGCCCCUUUAAAAUAUAUUUGGUUUAGAUAUACUUAUGCGAUUAUUGCUUUACAUAUUCGUAGUGUUUUAAUACAUUUAUUACUCAAUUGGGAAUAUGAAUGUCAUAAGCAUAGAGAACCCAUGUCUUUAUGACCAUUGAUGCUCAAAUUGCACAAUCCGAAUUCCCUGAAGAUGUCAAAUUCCAAACCUACUCUUUAUUCGGAAAUUGCUCUUGUGUAUUCUCUCAAUAUUUAACCUUCUCUACUGUUCAAGGUUGUUUGAAUAUCGUCUUUUCCUUCUCUAAAAACCAUGAUGACGUCCGAAUUCGCAAAAGGAAUGUUGAGUUGGUGACGUGUGCAACAGUGGAGGUCGGUGGUGGUCUAAAUCUUUGGUUUUCGACCUUUACGACCCGGGAUCGAAUCCCGCAUUAGGCACUUUUUUUCUAAAUAAAAAUAAUGCUCCAAUGGCCCUCAAUUCUUGUAAAAGUCCAACCCAACCAGCGAGUGCAAGUAACCAAACGGGGCUCUGGCACAUUUGUAAGUGCAAAGUCGAACUACUUUUCACAUGUGUAGACAUGUGGUGCACUUACAGUAAAAGCAGUCGCCAAUUCUACCCACCGUGAUUAUCAUGAAAAAAGAGAAGGGAGAGUAGUAACAAGCUCACUAAAAACCCUGUAUUCAACUGACCUGGCUGAUAGUACCCUGUAAGGGCUCCUAAUCCAGGGAUACAUUUGUACUCCAUGUUAGGAGCGACUGCACAUGGCGUCUGUUCCUCAUGUCAGAGGCGGCCAUUUCUUUUGGAACUAAGUCAGCCUGCCACUGAGUAGAGCUGCCAGUCUUAAUGACAAACGCAGACGCAUUAUACAUCACCCAGUGUGAAGAUAAGAAAGAAGAAGAAGAUUAUCAUGGCCUCUGUACCACAUGUAUUAGGGAUAAUAAAAAAAAAAAACAGUUGUGAUUUAUCAUGUGCCUUGUAUGUGGGCCUAAUUUUUUUUUGUUAUAAAUUAUAUGUGACAUUAUAUUGACUGCCUGUGACUCCAAAUGUGACUCUGUGGUGUGUGUGGUUCAGGUGGUCGACCGCGUGGUCCAUGCCGAGUACCACUCUGCGUUCACAUGGCGCCGCGGUGUGAACACAGCUGGUGGUAUCUCAGUAGGCCCGUGGCACUCCGUCGUCGGCGCACCGGCUGUCUCCUCUCUCUCUCUCUGUAGACAUACGCUAAUGUCACACUCACUGGACUCUUCUCUCUUGUCACUGGUCUCUUCUCUCCUGUCACUGGUCUCCUCUCUACUGUCACUGGUCUCUUCUCUACUGUCACUGGUCUCUUCUCUCCUGUCACUGGUCUCCUCUCUCCUGUCACUGGUCUCUUCUCUCCUGUCACUGGUCUCUUCUCUCCUGUCACUGGUCUCCUCUCUCCUGUCACUGGUCUCUUCUCUCCUGUCACUGGUCUCUUCUCUCCUGUCACUGGUCUCCUCUCUCCUGUCACUGGUCUCUUCUCUCCUGUCACUGGUCUCUUCUCUCCUGUCACUGGUCUCCUCUCUCCUGUCACUGGUCUCUUCUCUCCUGUCACUGGUCUCCUCUCUCCUGUCACUGGUCUCUUCUCUCCUGUCACUGGUCUCUUCUCUCCUGCCGCUGGUUGCCUUGUAUUCUCUCCUCUCUCAUGUCACUGGUGCCUUGUAUUCUCUCCUCUCUCAUGUCACUGGUGCCUUGUAUUCUCUCCUCUCUCAUGUCACUGGUGCCUUGUAUUCUCUAUCACUGGUCUCCUCUCUCAUGUCACUGGUCUCCUCUCUCAUGUCACUGGUCUCCUCUCAUGUCACUGGUGCAUUGUAUUCUCUCUCACUGGUCUCUUCUCUCCUGUCAUAGGUACUUUGUAUUCCCUUUCACUGGUCUCUUCUCUCCUGUCACUGGUCUCCUCUCAUGUCACUGGUGCCUUGUAUUCCCUCUCACUGGUCUCCUCUCUCAUGACAUAGGUGCUUUGUAUAUACUCUCACUGGUCUCUUCUCUCCUGUCACUGGUCUCCUCUCAUGUCACUGGUGCAUUGUAUUUUCUAUCACUGGUCUCUUCUCUACUGUCAUAGGUACUUUGUAUUCCCUGUCACUGGUCUCUUCUCUCCUGUCACUGGUCUCCUCUCAUGUCACUGGUGCCUUGUAUUCUCUCUCACUGGUCUCUUCUCAUGUCACUGGUGCCUUGUAUUCUCUCUCACUGGUCUCCUCUCUCAUGACAUAGGUGCUUUGUAUAUACUCUCACUGGUCUCUUCUCUCCUGUCACUGGUCUCCUCUCAUGUCACUGGUGCAUUGUAUUCUCUAUCACUGGUCUCUUCUCUCCUGUCAUAGGUGCUUUGUAUUCUCUCUCACUGGUCUCGUCUCUCCGGUCACUGGUCUCUUCUCUUCUGUCACUGGUGCCUUGUAUUCUCUCUCACUGGUCUCUUCUCAUGUCACUGGUGCCUUGUAUUCUCUCACUGGUCUUUUCUCAAAUGUCACUUGUGUCUUUCAUUCUCUCACUCUGGUCUCUUCUCUCAUAUCACUAGUGCCUUGUAUUCUCUCUCACUGAUCUCUGCUUUCAUGUCACUGUUGCCUUGUAUUCUCUCUCACUGGUCUCUUUACUAAUGUCACUGGUGCCUUUCAUUCUAUCGCACUGGUCUCUUCUCAAAGACUCAUCGCCUUAUUACCAUAGUUUUACAUCCUUCAUCGCAUUUUUACCAUUGUUUUACAGCCAUACUCGCCUUCUUUCUAUUGUUUUACAGCUUUCGUCGCCUUCUUACCAUAUUUAUACAUACUACAUCGCCUUCUCUUCAUUGUUAUAGAUCCUUCAUCACCUUCUUACCAUAGUUCCACAGUCUUCAACACCUUCUUACCAUGGUUCCACAGUCUUCAUCGCCUUCUUACUAUAGUUCUACAUCCUUCCUCGCCUUCUUUCUAUUGUUCUACAGCCUUCGUCGUUUUCUAACCAUAGUUGUAAAUACUUCAUCACCUUCUUUUCAUAGUCAUAGAUCCUUCAUGACCUUCUUACCAUAGUUCCACAGUCUUCAUCGCCUUCUUACUAUAGUUCUACAUCCUUCCUCGCCUUCUUUCUAUUGUUCUACAGCCUUCGUCGUUUUCUUACCAUAGUUGUAAAUACUUCAUCGCCUUCUUACCAUAGUUCUUCAGCCUUCAUCGCCUUCUUACCAUUGUUCUACAUACCUAUCGCCUUCUUACCAUAGUUCUACAUCCUUCAUUGCCUUCUUACCAUAGUUCUACAGCCUUCAUCGCUUUCUUACCAUAGUUCUACAGCCUUCAUAGCAUGUUUUCCAUUGUUCUUGAUCCUUCAUCGUCUUCUUACCAUAGUUCUACAGUCUUCAUCGCAUGUUUUCCAUUGUUCUACAUCCUUCAUCGCCUUCUUACUAUAGUUCUACAGUCUUCUUCGCGCGUUUUUCAUUUUUCUACAUCCUUCAUCGCAUUCUUACCAUAGUUCUACAGCCUUCAUCGCCUUCUUACCAUAGUUCUACAGCCUUCAUCGCCUUCUUACCAUAGUUCUACAUCCUCCAUCGCCUUCUUACCAUUGUUCUACAGCCUUCAUCGCCUUCUUACCAUAGUUCUACAGUCUUCAUAGCAUGUUUUCAAUGUUCUACAUCCUUCAUCGCCUUCUUACUAUAGUUCUACAUCCUUCAUCGCCUUCUUACCAUAGUUCUACAGCCUUCAUCGCCUUCUUACAAUAGUUCUACAGUCUUCAUAGCAUGUUUUCCAUUAUUCUACAUCCUUCAUCGCCUUCUUACUAUAGUUCUACAUCCUUCAUCGCCUUCUUACCAUAGUUCUACAGCCUUCAUCGCCUUCUUACCAUAGUUUUACAGUCUUCAUAGCAUGUUUUCCAAUGUUCUACAUCCUUCAUCGCCUUCUUACUAUAGUUCUACAUCCUUCAUCGCCUUCUUACCAUUGUUCUACAUCCUUCAUCGCCUUCUUACUAUAGUUCUACAUCCUUCAUCGCCUUCUUACUAUAGUUCUACAUCCUUCAUCGCCUUCUUACCAUUGUUCUACAGCCUUCAUCGCCUUCUUACCAUUGUUCUACAGCCUUCAUCGCCUUCUUGCAUUGUUUUAAAGCCUUCAUCGCCUUCUUACCAUUGUUCUACAUCCUUCAUCGCCUUCUUACAAUUGUUCUACAGUCUUCAUCGCCUUCUUACCAUAGUUCUACAGCCUUCAUAGCCUUCUUACCAUAGUUCUACAUCCUUCAAAGACUUCUUACAAUUGUUCUACAGCCUUCAUCGCCUUCUUACCAUAGUUCUACAGUCUUCAUCGCAUGUUUUCCAUUGUUCUACAUCCUUUAUCGCCUUCUUACUAUAGUUUUACAGUUUACAUCGCAUGUUUUCCACUGUUCUACAGUGGAACUUCUUACAUUGUUUUAAAGCCUUCAUCGCCUUCUUACCAUUGUCCAUUGUUCUACAUCCUUCAUCGCCUUCUUACAAUUGUUCUACAGUCUUCAUCGCCUUCUUACCAUAGUUCUACAACCUUCAUAGCCUUCUUACCAUAGUUCUACAUCCUUCAUCGCCUUUUUACCAUAGUUCUACAGCCUUCAUCGCAUUUUUAUCAUUGUUCUAAGCCUUCAUCGCUUUCUUACCAUAAUUCUACAGUCUUCAUCGCCUUCUUACCAUAGUACUACAUCCUUCAUCGCCUUUUUACCAUAGCUCAAUAGCCUUCAUCGCUUUUUUACCAUAGUUCUACAUCCUUCAUCGCCUUUUUACCAUAGUUCUACAGGUAUUUUCGGCUGGGCGCUCAAGCUCUCUGCUUUUUUUUCUUCGUGUUUUAAGGAAGUGUAGCUUCACUUGGUUUUGUCUAUAGUGAUUAAUCGAAAUGCUUAGGGAUUUUACAUUUUAUCUCUCUUUUAUUUAUAGUCUUCAAAACCUCCCUUCUCUUAUUCCCAAUAUACUGUAUGGAUACAAACUCCUUUGUAAAUGAUAUUUUGAGGCUCGUUAUAAUUCUGAUUUUAUUUUCCUCUUUUAAACAGGACUUUAUUGUACGCUCUUUCUCCAUUUAAACCCCAACUUCUUGGUGUAUGGAAGACCGUGUUCCGUCUAGGUGGGGGCGGGACAUUUUUAUUUCAAUAAAUUUUAAAUAAUUUAGUUCCUUUAGAUGUUGUAAUCUUUUGCUUCGACUGCUCAGGUCGAACACCUCCACGUCCUAACGCAGAUUGGUAGACUUCAACAAGACCUUUGUUUAGAAUACGUUACUCGCAGGCCUGUUGGCCUCAAUCUGAAUUAUUGUUCCAAAUAUUUUCAAAUACCGACGGAUGAAAUUUUAAGAAUGUUAAAUACCUUUAGUUUACCUUCUUUCUUCCUAUUGUCGGAUUUGUUCCACGUUCUUCUGAAUGGUGUCCAAAAGCGGUGUUCUUUUUGUCAAAAUUUUGGUUUCUUGGAACCUCAAUUCCAAAAGUUAUUUUCUUUCACAUGGUCUCAUAUUAAAUACACAGGUCGUUUAUUUCCUCCAGGAAUUAGUCGCACACAUAUUUGCUAUAUUGUUGGAUUAUUUACUCUAUAGCAUUCACAUAUUGACAGUCUAUCCUAAUUAUUGGUUAAAUAUUGCAUCUCCUAUUGUGUCUAUAGCCUAUAUUUUAUUACCCAUCACCUAUGAGGCCUGUAGAGUUGUAUAUGCUUCUCUUCUUAAUCAUCUACGAUGUUAUACAAACCUAAAGACAGUGGAAUGUACAAUUCUCUCCGAUAUCACAGCCAUUGUUUCAAUUACAAAUAAACUUACAAAUUCCUGUACAGAUCCGUGUUUUCCAGUACUACCUUUCAUACUCUUCAUCUAUCUCUCUUUCUCUUGUGGUAACCCGGAUUUCUGAAGCCACGUACUAAAUUCGCCAACUAUCAGGGUUGGUCUUUAGACUUCACGUCUAAUGGUGGACAUCCAGUUUGUCAGAUAUCGCCAGGCUGAUUUUUUCUUGAGAAUAAUACUCUUCAUAAUUAUCAAAGUCCUUUAUAACAGCAAUCUUCUUUCAUAGGCAAGUUCAUUACCGCCUGACAAUAAUAAAAUCGUAUCCCGAAAAAUAUUUUAUAAAGUAUAAAAGGAUAUGUAGUGGCUAUAUUCAAGAUUUUCAGAUCGAUCCUUGAUAUAAUAAAAAAUUCUUGAAAUAUGUAUAUAUUCAAAUAAAAUAUGUUCUAACUUCUUUAAAGUAAAAUUAUAAACGAAAUUUAUAACAUCGUUACAGCAAUUGUUUAUAUAAAAAAUGAUAAGUUCGAAUUUAUCAAGUUCGUUGACUGCAUUGUUCAAUAUCUUCUAUUUUUUUUCUAGAUUAUGUAAAUUAUCUGAAGGUCAGUGGGUGUUUUCAACAUUAAAAUUAUUUAGAGAUCUUCAAUACCAUCGUAUGCUCUCUAUAUUUUUAACUAAAUCUAUUUUUGAUUGUUAUUUUCAAGAUUUGUAACCUAAAUUUUCACAUACUAAAGAAAUUAUGUUAAAAUAUCCUUUUUAAAAAUAUAUAAAUACUAUAAUAUAUAUUUUUUAUUUUAGAAAAAAAAAAUGUUUUUUAUACUAUCUCAAUAAAAUAACAAUAUUUUAUAUAUUUACAUAUUAAUAUAUUGAACUGAAGUAAAAAUAUCUUUUGGAAGUCUUAAUUCAAAUUGUUAUCAUAUUCCUUUCGAUCAAAUUUGUUAAGAAGAUAUAGUCUCUCAAAUAUCACUGAAUCCUCCAAACGGUAAAUUUAUUUGACUUUUUGAAAAUAUAAAUAGCUAUUUUACUUUAUUACAGACUUCUUUAUUGCACUAUAGCCUAGUAAAUAUGUAAAUAAUACAGACUAAACACUGCGGUAUAUUUCUGCUGAACCAUGAUUUGGAAAGAUAAAUACUUAUAGCAUUAAAUAAAAUAAAGAAAGAAGACAUUAAGACGCGAAUGUUUCUUUUCACAAAUCAAACUUCUACUGUCCAGUACUACGAUGAAAAUAUGAAGUUUGAUUUAUUUGUGAAAAGAAAAAUUCGCAUCUUAAUGUAUUUUUUUCUUCAUAUAUAGAUGGCAUGUUAUUGCUUUGUAUUAAAUUUAAUACUACCCUAGCCUACGUGCUUCAGAAUUUAGUUUUUCAGCCGUAGUGUUUGACUUUAAUAAGUCAAGUUUAAGUAUUGGACGCUAAAUUUAUAUAUACUUGAGUAAUUAAUAUUCUGCGAUUAAAAUGUAAAUUGUUUUUUUUUAUACGUUUUCUAAUUCAUUUACACAUAAAACUUUAAAUUUAUAAAUUGAACAAAUAAAUUUACUGGUAAUGUGUUUCUUUCCAAUAAUAUCAUCAAAUAUUAUCGCUACAGACCUUACUGCAAUGAUGGGUUAUUGAAUGAGAGGGUUUGGUACAAAUAAAUUUACUGGCAAUAUGUUUCUUUUCAAUAAUAUCAUCAAAUAUUAUCUCUACAGACCUUACUGUAAUGAAAUAAGCCCUCUCAUUCAAUAACUUAUUUCAUUACAAUAAGGUCUAUAGAGAUAGUUUUUGAUGAUAUUAUUGAAAAGAAACACAUUGCCUACAAAUUUAAACAUAAAACUGUAUAUAUUCUUUCUAUGAUUUAGAUGAAUUUGACUUUAAAUUUCAUUAGUCCCAUCUUUCAUGUGGCUUUUUGGAAUAGCUGAUUGUUUAUUGUGUGUAUGUAUUACUAUUGAAUAUAUAUAACUGUAUAUGACUUAAUAUAUUGCAUAUAUACAGUAGAAACUCCAUGUAAAGGACAACACCUAAUUGCAGAGUCAAAGUAUCCUUUAGAGAGAAGUGCCUUCUUACCGGAGAGUUACUGAAUGGUAAAAAUUGUAAAUUUGAAACUAAAAACUGUCCUUUGUAGAGAGGUAUCCUCUAGCGUGAGUGUCCUCUCAUGAAGGUUCUACUGUACUAUUAUAUAUGUUUACUGCCUUUUUAAUAAUAAAUAUUGUUAAUUAUUUUUAAAGGUUUAUAGUAUAAUAUGGUUAACAAGUCGGGAUAAAUUCUCUGUUCAUAUUCUGAUGAUAUUUUAAGGAGAUUCACCAAACUAAUUUACUGAGUCGACUUAAUUGAUCUCUUCGAAUAAAAAUAGCAAAAUCUAACGAAGAUUGAAGAGGAUUGUCUUAUACGAACUAUAUUAGCAAGCUUUCGGACGUCCUUCUACAGACAUUACGAUGACCACCUGUAGAAGGACGUCCGAAAACUUGCGGCGAAUAAAGUUCGUAUAAGACAUUCCUCUUUAAUCAUCGUUAUAUUUUGCUAAUUUACUGAGUAAAAAUAAAAUUUGCCUUCACAACGUUUUUCUGAACUGUCAGAAAGAUUGAGAUUUAAAGACAAAUUCAAUUCGCUAUAUGGUCGAGAUAUAUCUGUACGAUUUCGUGAGAAUUUUGAAUUAAUAUUUCUUAAUCCUCGACUUCUAGAUCAUAUUAUACUAAAUUUAUAUUAUGCACUAGCGCGCCAUCUGUUAUCAAAAUUCGAAACUAUUUUAAAGGCUUAAGAUUCUUUUUGAAAUUAAACAAUUUCUACUGCCCUUACUGCAAUGGGCAUUAAUUUUUCCAUUGCAGUAAGGGCAGUAGAAAUUGUUUAAUUUCAAAAAGAAUCUUACGCCUUUAAAAUAGUUUCGCAUAUAAAUUUAUAUUGUUCGUUUAAGAAAAUGAGAAAAUCUGCCAUUAAUAUUGAAUUUAAAACAUGGUAAAUAACUCAGUCAAAUUAAGAUUUUUGUUAUAAUCUCAACAAUCAAAUAUGUGUUAGAGAUUGAUUAGAAAUUCAUGAUAUUAUAUAGAAUAUAAAAUCAAAGAACGCAAUUGAUAUAACUCUUUGGAAUUUUGUAGAAUAAAUAUUCCUAAAUGUUUCUGCAAACUAUUCAAUUUUAAACCUAUUAUAACAAUGAAAUUCGAUAUUCAAUUGUUCAUUGUUAACCUAGCUCUUGAUUGUUUGAAUUACUAUGUCAUUGUUGGAAUGUUAACCAUAAUAUGUGAUGAAACUCUUGAAAUUUACUAAUCCAUAUGCUUUUGUAGAAUUUCAUCAAAGGUUUUCUUAUUCAAAUUUUGGAUUGUUUAAUCAACUUUGCCAUAUCUAUUGAAGGAAAUUCUUCACUAGCAUUAAAAUAACCAUAAUUUGUAAAUAAAUCUUGAAAUUUACUAAUCAAUACGCUUUUAUGGAAUUUCAUCAAAGAUUUCUUAUUUAAAUUUCGGAUUGUUCAAUCAACUUUGCCAUAUCCAUUGCAGGAAAUUCUUCACUGGAAUUAUAACAACAAGUUCAGUUUUUAUAGAUAUCUUAACCAUUAUUUGUAAGAUGGAAAAUCUUUACUGUAUAAAAUAUUAACCUUUUUUUGUAAGAAUCAUUUUAAUCAUUUGUACUAAAUUCGAAAUAUCGCGUGAGAAAGCCCUUUCAACCUCAGAACAAUUUUUAACGCGUUGCCAAAUGCUUUAUUUUUUAUUUAUUUCUCCUAACGAAGACAAAAUAUUUUUGUUGAAACGUUGAGAAAAAAAAACUCUAACUGGCCGAAGUGUCUAUUUUUCACAGAAAUAUGAAUUCUGGUCAGGCAACCUCUAUCUUUAGGACAUUUUAAUUCUGUUGUAAGAAUUAUUCCUUUGUUGUAAUAUAUUAACUGAGUUUUUCUCACUUGUUGCAAGAGAAACCUUCAUCAGUGUUGCAAGAAGAAGCAGUUAGAAGAAGCGUUGUUGGGCUGUGGAGUGUGGCAGUGUGAUUAGCUGGUUGUCAAGUCAACAACCACUAUCCACCCUGCCGUAUUCCGCAGUCCGCUGUCUGCUCACCCCGUCUCUGUCACAUCGGUGUAUAUAGGUCUAACAAUAAAUUGUUCCUGCUGUCGAGUCUUUGUUUAUUCUAUCACUUGUUCCAAAGUCACUUUAUUAGGUAUCGCUCAACAAGACCAACCUAGUUUAUGAUAUUUGUAACAAUGAAUAAUAUGUGAAGGUUAUUCACAUAUUAAACAAAAUGUUAAAGCGGGAUUCGAUCCCGGUUCAUGGCUGUCGGGAAUCGAGGGUGUUACCCACUCGAACACCGACGUUUUUUAUUCUAUCACUUGAAACUUCACAGGAUUCUUUUUACAAUAUAUAUUUUUUUCCAAAAAUGUCUUUUCUAAACUUUGUUUCAGAGGUUCAAAUCUCUUUCCUUGGAAUUUCAUGCAGAUCAACUAAUUACCGUUUGCUGCAUCAAAGUGGAGCCAACAUCUAGAAUUGCUGCAACUAUGGUUAUGUAAAUAUAUAUUUGUGGUUUAUAGGUGCAUGACAUUUUAAAAAGUUUUCGGUAGUUUUACAGCAUUUGUGAAAAAUCAGAACAAAUCUUUUGUACACUCAUAGGGAAAAUUUGAGGAAGUGUAACGUAUUUGAUGUCGCCAGUCGUCUAAUUUUUUUUUUGUAGACAAGCAAUUCUUUUGUUCAUACUUCGUUAUCUCGUGUGUGUUCAAGAUAGGUCACUUUGCAUCAAAUAACUUUCAGAGUUAUUGUCUGAAAUCCGAAAUACAGGCUAAAAGGUACAACUUCAUUAUUUUUUUCCAUGAUUGUGUUAUAUACAUAUUCCCAUUUCUUGUUUCUCAGGAAGCCUUUGGGACCAAAUACCAGUAUGGGUCAAUAAGUAAUGCACAAUCAUCAAUAAUAUAUUUAUUUAACAAACCAUAAAUAUGAAACUUUGUAUAUAUAAAUACCUAACUAUUAGCUAUAUAUCAUUCAAUAUAUCUACCUUCCCUCUGUACACAUUUGGUCCAGCGUUCUUUCCAACUCACAAAAGCACUUUGGUAAAAUACUACAUCUUGCUUUCUGAACCCCCCUCUAACCUCAUGGAGUAAGAUUUCAUCAUUUCAAAUGUUCUGCCGCGUAAAAUUUCUUUAAUUUACCAAACAGGUAGAAGUCGGAAGGAGCCAGGUCAGGACUGUAAGCUGGGUGAGGCAUCAAAGUCCACCCAUAUCUGGAAUAUGAGCCAAUAUCUGUCGCGCGGUGUGAGUUCUUGCAUUGUCUUGAUGAAAUUUGAUUUGACAGUCUUUUAGGCCCAGCCUUUUUGUUGAAAUUGUUCUUUUUAGCUUUUCUAAUGAUUUACAAUAUCUUUCCUUGUUGAUGGAAGUAUUCUUGGAAUGCAUGUCCAUGAAUAUGAGCCCAUCUUGGUCCCUAAAGAUCGUUAUCAUGAUGUUGUCUUUGGAAAGAGAAAGCCUUGGUUUUUUUCUCGAUGAAGACAUUUUAUGGGUCCAUUACAUUGAUUUGCGCUUUGAAGAAAUGUCAUAAUGAUAAACCCAAAUCUCAUCACACGUUAUGACACCUUCAAAGGCUUCAGAAACUGGUCUUGUUUUGAUUCGAUGAGGUCUAAACAAAUUUCUUUCCGAGAUUGCAUCAUUUCUCGUGUUAGAAACAUUUAACAUUAUUAUAAACAUUAAACAUAUAAAAUUCAUAUUUUAUUUUAUUUAUAUUAACUGCAUUUGGCGCAGACAAAAAUUCAAUAACCAUCACAGAUACUUGAUAAACUUGUUUCUGUAUGACUGAGGAGGUAUCUAAGUUUAAAGAGGUGUUAUAAACUUGUUUGUGUAUGGUUGAGUAGGCAUCUAUCGGUGAAGUCGUGUUAUAAACUUGUUUGUGUAUGGCUGAAGAGGCAUGUGCCUGAAAAGAGACAUUAAAUAAACUUGUCUGUGUAUAGUUGAGAAGGCUUCUUUCGGUGGAGACGUGUUAUAAACUGGUUAUGGCUGAGAAGGCAUCUACCACUGAAGUCCCGUUAUAAACUUGUUUGUGUAUGGUUAGGAGGUAUCUACCUGUGAAGUAGUGGUUUAAACUUGUUUGUGUAUGGUUUAGGAGGUAUCUAUCGGGGAAGUCCUGUUAUAAACUUGUUUGUGUUUGGUUAGGUGGUAUCUACCUGUGAGGUAGUGGUUUAAACUUUUUUGUGUAUGGUUUAGGAGGUAUCUAUCGGGGAAGUCCUUUUAUAAACUUGUUUGUGUUUGGUUAGGAGGUAUCUACCUGUGAAGUACUGGUUUAAACUUGUUUGUGUAUGGUUUAGGAGGUAUCUAUCGGGGAAGUCCUGUUAUAAACUUGUUUGUGUUUGGUUAGGUGGUAUCUACCUGUGAGGUAGUGGUUUAAACUUUUUUGUGUAUGGUUUAGGAGGUAUCUAUCGGGGAAGUCCUUUUAUAAACUUGUUUGUGUUUGGUUAGGAGGUAUCUACCUGUGAAGUACUGGUUUAAACUUGUUUGUGUAUGGUUUAGGAGGUAUCUAUCGGUGAAAUAGUUAUAAACUUGUUUGUUUAUGACUGAGGAGUUAUCUACUGGUGAAGCCGUGUUAUAAACUUGUUUGUGUAUGGUUGAGGAGGCUUUUACCUAAGCGUGUUGCGUUUAUGUGUGUGUGGUUGUAGAUAUUGUAGGUGUGGUGUGCAUGGUGUGUGUGUUGCCUUUAUAUGAGGGUGGUUUAAGUGUUGUAGGUGUGAUAUGUAUAGCGUGGGUGGUUGCGUGUUGCGUUUGUUUGUGCGUUGUUGUAAGUGUGAUGUGUAUUGUUUGUGUGAUUGCGUGUUGCCUUUGUGUGUACUCGUACUUGAUUGUAAGUAUUGUAGGUGUGGUCUGUAUGGCGUUAGUGAUUGUGUGUUGCGUUUGUGUGUGCGUGGUCGUAGGUUUUGUAGGUGAGGUGUGCAUUGCAUGAAUGAUUGCGUGUUGCGUUUAUGUGUUCAUGGUUGUAAGUGGUAUAGGUGAGGUGUGCAUUGCAUUGAUGAUUACGUGUUGCGUUUAUGUGUGCGUGGUUGUAAGUGGUGUAGGUGAGGUGUGCAUUGCAUCAAUGUAUUCGUGUUGCGUUUGUGUGUUACAUUGGUGUGUGCGUAUGUAAAUGUCGUAGGUGUGGUGUACAUUGUGUGUGUGGUAUAUGUAUUGAUUUUGAGUGUGCGUGGUUGUAAGUGUUGUAAGCGAGGUGUGCAUGGUGUGCGUGAUUGUGUGUUGCAUGUGGAGUAUACAUAAUGUGUUUUAGGGUGUGUGUUGCGUUUGUAUAUACGUGUUUUCAAAUGUUUAAGGUGUGGUGUGCAUGGUGUCUUUGGUAUGUGUGUUGGGUUUGGGUAUGCGUGGUCGUGUGUGUGGUUUGUGUGGUUGUGCGUUUUGUAUGUGUAGUUUGCGUGUUUGCGUGUGUGCAUGUUUGAAUGGUUGUGAGUUAUGUAUUU